ensembl:lncRNA
UAUCCUGCCAAGCUCCCUUGGUCACAGAAUUCUCCAGGAAAGAAUACAGGAGUGGGUUGCCAUGCUCUCCUCCAGGGGAUCUUCCCAACCCAGGGACUGAACCCAGGUCCUCCUGCAUUGCAGCUACUGCAAAAGGGACUAGACAGACACCAGAGGGAGCUCAAGUUACCGAACCCUUUUCUCAGGAGCAAAGCUGUAGGUCAUUAUAAAGUAAACACAGAGAAGACUUCAUGAACCUGGGUAAGAAAGCCAACCAGAAACCUAUAACAAAGACAAAACCUUAUCAACAGCCCGGGAACUGAAGAGGAGUCCUGAAAUACAUUUGACAAAAUCUGAAGUAACUUUAUUUUUAACUCCAGAUACAUGGUACAGAUUCAUAGCGGUCUAAACUUGGGUGCCUAAUAAAAUGAAUAUGCC